rnacentral:rRNA from 1 species
GACGAACGCUGGCGGCGUGCUUAACACAUGCAAGUCGAACGGAAAGGCCUCCAGCUUGCUGGGGGUACUCGAGUGGCGAACGGGUGAGUAACACGUGGGUGAUCUGCCCUGCACUUCGGGAUAAGCCUGGGAAACUGGGUCUAAUACCGGAUAGGAGCCAUCUUUGGUGUGAUGGUUGGAAAGUUUUUUCGGUGUAGGAUGAGCCUGCGGCCUAUCAGCUAGUUGGUAAGGUAACGGCUUACCAAGGCAAUGAUGCAUAGCCGAGUUGAGAGACUGAUCGGCCACAUUGGGACUGAGACACGGCCCAA